GACGAACGCUGGCGGCGUGCUUCAUACAUGCAAGUCGAGCGGGGUCCAUCCAGUGGCAACACUGGUGAAGACCUAGCGGCGAACGGGUGAGUAACACGUGAGGAACCUGCCCCAGAGACCGGGAUAACCCUCCGAAAGGAGAGCUAAUACCGGAUGCCCCCACCGGAUCGCAUGGUCUGGUGAGGAAAUGGAUUCCGCUCUGGGAGGGCCUCGCGGCCUAUCAGCUUGUUGGUGAGGUAACGGCUCACCAAGGCGUCGACGGGUAGCUGGUCUGAGAGGACGGUCAGCCACACUGGGACUGGGACACGGCCCAGACUCCUACGGGAGGCAGCAGUAGGGAAUCUUGCGCAAUGGGCGAAAGCCUGACGCAGCAACGCCGCGUGGGGGAUGAAGGCUCUCGGGUUGUAAACCCCUUUCAGCAGGGACGAUUGUGACGGUACCCGCAGAAGAAGGACCGGCCAACUACGUGCCAGCAGCCGCAGUAA
rnacentral:rRNA from 1 species